GACGAACGCUGGCGGCGUGCUUAACACAUGCAAGUCGAACGGAAAGGCCCCUUUGGGGGUACUCGAGUGGCGAACGGGGGCGUAACACGUGAGUAACCUGCCCUUGACUUCGGGAUAACUUCAGGAAACUGGGGCUAAUACCGGAUAGGAAUCCUUGCUGCAUGGUGGGGGUUGGAAAGCUUCGGCGGUUUUGGAUGGACUCGCGGCUUAUCAGCUUGUUGGUGGGGUAGUGGCUUACCAAGGCGUUGACGGGUAGCCGGCCUGAGAGGGCGACCGGCCACAUUGGGACUGAGAUACGGCCCAGACUCCUACGGGAGGCAGCAGUGGGGAAUAUUGCACAAUGGGCGGAAGCCUGAUGCAGCAACGCCGCGUGCGGGAUGACGGCCUUCGGGUUGUAAACCGCUUUCAGCAGGGGCGAAGCUUGUGGUGACGGUACCUGCAGAAGAAGCACCGGCUAACUACGUG
rnacentral:rRNA from 1 species